rnacentral:rRNA from 1 species
GACGUAGGAGGCGAGCGUUGUCCGGAUUCAUUGGGCGUAAAGAGCGCGCAGGCGGCUUGGUAAGUCGGAUGUGAAAUCCCGAGGCUCAACCUCGGGUCUGCAUCCGAUACUGCCCGGCUAGAGGUAGGUAGGGGAGAUCGGAAUUCCUGGUGUAGCGGUGAAAUGCGCAGAUAUCAGGAGGAACACCGGUGGCGAAGGCGGAUCUCUGGGCCUUACCUGACACUCAGGCGCGAAAGCUAGGGGAGCGAACUGG